rnacentral:rRNA from 1 species
ACGCACGCUGGCGGCGUGCUUUACACAUGCCAGUCGAACGGAAAGGCCCUGCUUUUGUGGGGUGCUCGAGUGGCGAACGGGUGAGUAACACGUGAGUAACCUGCCCUUGACUUUGGGAUAACUUCAGGAAACUGGGGCUAAUACCGGAUAGGAGCUCCUUCUGCAUGGUGGGGGUUGGAAAGUUUCGGCGGUUGGGGAUGGACUCGCGGCUUAUCAGCUUGUUGGUGGGGUAGUGGCUUACCAAGGCUUUGACGGGUAGCCGGCCUGAGAGGGUGACCGGCCACAUUGGGACUGAGAUACGGCCCAGACUCCUACGGGAGGCAGCAGUGGGGAAUAUUGCACAAUGGGCGGAAGCCUGAUGCAGCAACGCCGCGUGCGGGAUGACGGCCUUCGGGUUGUAAACCGCUUUCGCCUGUGACGAAGCGUGAGUGACGGUAAUGGGUAAAGAAGCACCGGCUAACUACGUG